CUGGAGGACUGUGGGUAUUAGGUGUCCAAGAAGAAAGCUCAAAUCUGCUGACGGCAGGUACCUUGCUUGGGAUUUACUAUCCGACAGGGGUCCGAACGCAGCCCGGGAACAGAAAGAAAGCAGGUUAUUUACAAUCUACCGGAGCCUAAGGGCAGAAGGCAGGGGUCCGAACGCAGCCCGGGAACAGAAAGAAAGCAGGUUAUUUACAAUCUACCGGAGCCUAAGGGCAGAAGGCAGGUAAGGGAAUUCUUGGGAGCUGUGGGGUUUUGUAGACUGGAUCCCAAACUUUGCAGUAUUAGCCAAGCCUUUGUAUGAGGUCACAAAGGGGGCGGGGAACGGAACCUUUGGAAUGGGGAUCCCAAGAACAAAAAGUCUUUCAGGAGUUAAAGGAAAAACUUCUGGCAGCCCCAGCCCUGGGGCUACCCGAUCUGACAAAGCCUUUUCCAUUGAAUGCGUCAGAUAGAGAAAAGAUGGCAGCUGGACUUUUAACCGAAACUCUGGGGCCCUGGCUGAGGCCGGUGGCCUAGUUGUCUAAACAACUAGAGAGGGUUUCUAAAGGAUGGCCCCUCAUGUUUGAGGGCCGUGGCAUCAACUGCCCUGAUAGUACAAGAAGCAAAUAAGCUGACUCUUGGGCAAAACCUGAACAUAAAGGCCGCCCAUUUUGGGUUGGGUGACAGCCAUCCCCUCUUCCCCCCCUGCCUUAGGACCCCCAUCGCGUAUCCUAAGAUCCUUAGGACUCACCUGGAGGACUGUGGGUAUUAGGUGUCCAAGAAGAAAGCUCAAAUCUGCCAACGGCAGGUACCUUACUUGGGAUUUACUCUCCGACGGGUCCGAUGCCGCCCGGGAACAGAAAGAAAGCAGGUCAUUUGCAAUCUACCGGAGCCUAAGGGCAGAAGGCAGGUGAGGGAAUUCUCAGGGGCUGUGGGGUUUUGUAGACUGUUCAUCCCAAACUUUGCAGUAUUAGCCAAGCCUUUGUAUGAGGUCACAAAGGGGGCGUGGACCGGAACCUUUGGAAUGGGGAACCCAAUAACAGCAAGUCUUUCAUGAGUUAAAGGAAAAAUGUCUGGCAGCCCCAGCCCUGGGGAUACCCGAUCUGACAAAGCCUUUUCCAUUGUAUGCGUUAUAGACAGAAAAGAUGGCAGCUGGACUUUUAACCCAAACUGUGGGGCCCUGGCUGAGGCCGGUGGCCUACGUCUCUGAACAACUAGACAGGGUUUCUGAAGGAUGGCUCCCCUGUUUGAG
rnacentral:lncRNA from 1 species